rnacentral:rRNA from 1 species
GACGAACGCUGGCGGCGUGCUUAACACAUGCAAGUCGAACGAUGAAGCCGCUUCGGUGGUGGAUUAGUGGCGAACGGGUGAGUAACACGUGGGCAAUCUGCCCUGCACUCUGGGACAAGCCCUGGAAACGGGGUCUAAUACCGGAUAUGACCACUGACCGCAUAGUCUGGUGGUGGAAAGCUCCGGCGGUGCAGGAUGAGCCCGCGGCCUAUCAGCUUGUUGGUGGGGUGAUGGCCUACCAAGGCGACGACGGGUAGCCGGCCUGGGAGGGCGACCGGCCACACUGGGACUGAGACACGGCCCAGACUCCUACGGGAGGCAGCAGUGGGGAAUAUUGCACAAUGGGCGAAAGCCUGAUGCAGCGACGCCGCGUGAGGGAUGACGGCCUUCGGGUUGUAAACCUCUUUCAGCAGGGAAUAAGCUUUCGGGUGACGGUACCUGCAGAAGAAGCACCGGCUAACUACGUGCCAGCAGCCGCGGUAAUAC